GAUGAACGCUGGCGGCGUGCCUAAUACAUGCAAGUCGAGCGAAUGGAUUAAGAGCUUGCUCUUAUGAAGUUAGCGGCGGACGGGUGAGUAACACGUGGGUAACCUGCCCAUAAGACUGGGAUAACUCCGGGAAACCGGGGCUAAUACCGGAUAACAUUUUGAACCGCAUGGUUCGAAAUUGAAAGGCGGCUUCGGCUGUCACUUAUGGAUGGACCCGCGUCGCAUUAGCUAGUUGGUGAGGUAACGGCUCACCAAGGCAACGAUGCGUAGCCGACCUGAGAGGGUGAUAGGCCACACUGGGACUGAGACACGGCCCAGACUCCUGCAGGAGGCAGCAGUAGGGAAUCUUCCGCAAUGGACGAAAGUCUGACGGAGCAACGCCGCGUGAGUGAUGAAGGCUUUCGGGUCGUAAAACUCUGUUGUUAGGGAAGAACAAGUGCUAGUUGAAUAAGCUGGCACCUUGACGGUACCUAACCAGAAAGCCACGGCUAACUACGUGCCAGCAGCCGCAGUAA
rnacentral:rRNA from 1 species